UACACUCCUGCGGGAGGCAGCAGUGGGGAAUAUUGCACAAUGGGCGCAAGCCUGAUGCAGCCAUGCCGCGUGUAUGAAGAAGGCCUUCGGGUUGUAAAGUACUUUCAGCGGGGAGGAAGGCGAUAAGGUUAAUAACCUUGUUGAUUGACGUUACCCGCAGAAGAAGCACCGGCUAACUCCGUGCCAGCAGCCGCGGUAAUACGGAGGGUGCAAGCGUUAAUCGGAAUUACUGGGCGUAAAGCGCACGCAGGCGGUCUGUCAAGUCGGAUGUGAAAUCCCCGGGCUCAACCUGGGAACUGCAUUCGAAACUGGCAGGCUAGAGUCUUGUAGAGGGGGGUAGAAUUCCAGGUGUAGCGGUGAAAUGCGUAGAGAUCUGGAGGAAUACCGGUGGCGAAGGCGGCCCCCUGGACAAAGACUGACGCUCAGGUGCGAAAGCGUGGGGAGCAAACAGGAUUAGAAACCCGAGUAGUCCCAUGA
rnacentral:rRNA from 1 species